rnacentral:lncRNA from 1 species
CAGACUGUGCCGAAGCUCCAUGAGACCUCUCCUCGUCUGUGCAUGAAAGAGGAGCCAGACACAGAGUGUCCAGCCGACUCUGGAGCCCAGGCUGUUGCUUCCCGGUCUGCUGGUGAGUCCUCCAUUGUCUGAUGUGGGUAAGUCCAAGAUCAAGGAGCCAGCAGAUUCAGAGUCCAGGGAGGGCUGUUCCUGAUUUGCAGAUGGCACCUUCUCUUUAUGUGUUCACAAGAUUGUGAAGCCUGUAGCUUGCAAGAUAUAGGACAUAGGUGAAAGUGUUUGUACCAUUCACUUAAAGGCAUAAAUGUCCAAAGGGACCAUCUUGUGAUACAUGCACUGUCACAGGAAAAGGUUCCAGGAAAAGUCGAGCCAGGGCUUCACAGAAGAUCAAAACAAAGAGACAAGGAGAAGCUAAGUGUAUUAGUCAGGAUUCUCUAAGGGACAGAACUAAUAGAAUAUAUAUACACACACAAACACACACACAUACAUAUAUACAUAUAUUAUAUAAACAUAUAAUAUGUGUAUACAUAUAAAUAAACGGGAGUUUGUUAAGGAGUAUCAACUCACACAAUCACAAGGUCCCACAACAGGCCGGGCCGUCUGUAAGCUGAGGAACAAGGAAGCCAGUCUGAAUCCCACAGAUGACAAACUUGGAGUUCGAUGUUCAAGGGCAAGAAGCAUCCAGCACAGGAGAAAGAUGUCGGCUGGGAGGCUAAGCCAGUUGAGACUUUUCACAUUUUUCUGCCUGUUUCAUAUCCUAGCUGCGAUGGCAGCUGAUUAGAUGGUGCCCACCCAGAUUAAGGGUGGGUCUGCCUUUCCCAGCCCACUGACUCAAAUGUUUAUCUCCUUUGGCAACGCCCUCACAGACACACCGAGGAUUAAUAUUUUGCUUCCUUCCAUCCAAUCAAGUUGACACUCAGUAUUAACCAUCACACUAAGCUUUAUUGUUAUUUUAUAGAAAUGCUUGAAAACCAGAGAUAAAUGCAGCUGCAAAUGAACGAUGACUCUGUGUUUUCCUUGUAUAUAUAAAGAUCAACAAUAACACUUAGGUCAUGACACCCACCUGCUUUACAGAUCAUUAUGGAAAUAAUACACUGCUUCAACAAUGGAGAAACAAUCAUCCAUAUUUAUGCAAGAACUAAAUUCAUGUUUGAAAGCUUGCUUUGAGCUUGAAGAUAUAAUUAUAAAACAUGAUUCUGUGACAGUAAACAAUGUAUAACAAACCUUACAGAAAUUUAUGUGAUUACUAAAAAAAAAAAUCAAUUCAUCAAUUCAAUAAACUGAGUACUGUAUUACUUUUCUAUUGCUUCUUUACCAAAUAAAUACAAGCUUUGCAGUUUAAAACUACAGAAAUUUAAUUUUUUAUAGUUCUGAGGGUCAGUAACCUAAAACUGAUCUUAUGAAAUAAAGUUAAAUCUUGGGGAUAUGAGUGUGUACAGGGCUGGUUUCUUCUGGGGCUGUGAUGGUAAAAUUUGCUUCCUUGCCUUUUCUCCUUCUAGGGAGCCUGUAUUCCCUGCCUCCUAGUGGCUUCCUCCCAUCACUCAAACCUCUGUUUCCAGCCUCAGGAUUCCUAAUGUGACUCUGAUGUUUCAUCUCCUGUUUACGAGGACCCUUCUGAUUGCUAAGAUACAUACGGUGACACUAUGGAAGUUAACUUGAAGAUUAAAACCCUGAAAAAUAGAAAGAAUCUUCUAUUGUAUAUCAGAGAUUACAAGGGCCUGAAUUAGAGUGGUGACAUUUUCAUCCCUUGAUAAUGGAUUAAAACAAUUGAAUGAAGCUUUGGGGUGAACUUACAGGACUUUAUGGCAAACUUGAUAUGGGAGACUUACAUGAAGGGAGGAAGAAAUGCGUAUGUGUACAAAAUCAUGUGGAUAGAUGUGCAUUUGUGGGUAUCUGUGAAUACAAAUACACAAUUUUCAGACAGAAGUAGUAUAAGAAAAGGAAAUCAAAGAAAGUCAAACAUUUUAAGUGUAGCUCUUGGUGCACUUUAAAAAAUUUAUUAAAUUGAAGCUGUCAUUUAUUCUCAUCAUUGUCAUCCUAUAUUAGUGAUUUUCUUUAGCUUUUCAAAUUAAAUUCAUAAUAUUACAAUUCUGAAUUCCUAUGUAUGUAUAUGUUAAGAAUCCUUUAAUAGGACUGACUUUCAUAUGUGUGUGGCUGCAUUCUGAAAUAGUUGUCUAGGUGAUACAUAAAGCAGUGAGUUCUAUUUGUAAGAUAUAUUUACAUUUAAAAUAUUCAUAGAGUUACUAACCAGCUCCAGUAUUACUGAAAUGAUUUCUCCAAAUAUCCUAUAUUUAAUUAUCAUGCUGGCAAAUUUAUUAUAACUUUGGGUUGAAAAAAUAUAUUAUGAUACAUAUCCACUGACUAAUGCCACCUUUCUACUUUCCUGAAUUAAAUGUUUAUGAUUAUUUCCAUAAAUGUGUUUAUCAGUGUAAUCAAAAAUGAAAAUAACAUAAAU